UGCCCAACUCGCAGUCUCGCGAGCAGCUCACCAUCGUAUGCGGGAAGUCGUUCUCGGCAUCCACCGUCAACGACACGGACGCGUGCAAGUUCACCAAGGAGCUCAAGGUUGGCUACUGGCUCGUGUUGGACAAGGCCUAUCCGGUUCAGCACAGGGUGAUCACCAGCAUCAAGUCCGACUACGAGCUCACCGUGGACGCGGACUUUUCCGUCGGAUCGGCUGUCGCCACCGACACCCUCGCGCACUCGGGCACCAAACUCGCGGGCGAGAGUGAGUGGACCUGGGUCUCGUGCCCGCCCCGCAUCGGCAAGCGCGCCACCGGCAUGGGCGUGAUCGAGACCCACGCGGAUCAGACGACCGACUUCAAGGAUUCCGGCGCCAUCAAGGCUGGCCGCUCGGUCACCAGCGGCUGGCUGGGCCGAGCGUCGGGCGCGGCUACGAUGAAGCGCCACCGCAUCGUCGGCCGCGGCACCCGCUUCGAGACCCAG
rnacentral:lncRNA from 1 species